GGGGAAUAUUGCACAAUGGGCGAAAGCCUGAUGCAGCAACGCCGCGUGAAGGAUGAAGGGUUUCGGCUCGUAAACUUCUAUCAUUAGGGAAGAAAGAAAUGACGGUACCUAAAUAAGAAGCCCCGGCUAACUACGUGCCAGCAGCCGCGGUAAUACGUAGGGGGCAAGCGUUAUCCGGAAUUACUGGGUGUAAAGGGAGAGUAGGCGGCAUGGUAAGUUAGAUGUGAAAGCCUAGGGCUUAACCCUAGGAUUGCAUUUAAAACUAUCAAGCUAGAGUACAGGAGAGGAAAGCGGAAUUCCUAGUGUAGCGGUGAAAUGCGUAGAUAUUAGGAAGAACACCAGUGGCGAAGGCGGCUUUCUGGACUGAAACUGACGCUGAGGCUCGAAAGCGUGGGGAGCGAAC
rnacentral:rRNA from 1 species